GUGGCCCCUGCUGUGACGCCUGCCAGCUGUGGAGGAGAUCGGUGCAGGGGGGCUCUGGGGCCCUGCACUUCUAGCUGCUGAAGGACAAAACUCCUGCCAAGACUGUCUCUGUCCUGGGGCAGUUGAUUGCCUGUAUUGAGUCUUUCCUCUCUUAGCCUGGUUUUGUAGGUGCUAAUUGAUGCUCAUUGAGUCGUUAUGUAGUAGCUAGGUCCUGUGUAUUGAGCUGGUCCCUGAGUCCCUGGUCCCUGAGUGAAUCAUGAUUGAUUGAUUGGUAACUGGUAACCCAGUAGCUUAGCAGCCAGGCCUGCAGCAGUGUCUCCUCUCCAGCCCCAUGCCAGAGACAGUCAGUGCCACAAGCACUCAUGGCACGAGUUUUGCUUGUCCGCAGCUUGAGGGGCAGUUCCUCCCAAACCCCUGCACUGAUCGUUUUAAAACUUGGCAGGCUUUGUGGCCUCAGUAACAGCUACCAUGCCUGCAGUUUUGACCCCCUGUGUUGUAACACAUAGACGUGACAGGAGUUUUGCUUUCAAGAGUUUGGGGUAUUGUUCCCCCCAAGCCUCUGCACCCAUCUUCUUGAAACUUGUCAGGCUUCAUCCUCCCUGCAGAGUCUACCACCCCUGAAAAUGUCAUCCAAAUCAGACAAAAAACAACAAAGUUAUAGAUAUUUUAUUGUUUCCCCAUUAUACCCUAUGGCCGGAUUGCCGAGGCAGCUCCGAGGCGCUUCGGGAAGCCGAACGAGGCAGUGCUUCGACCCGGAUGUGCUGCUUCAGACCCCGAAGCGCCGGGAGCUUCUCCAGGUCCAAAGCUCUGUCCAAAGCCUUGCACAGCCCUAUCAAUUAGUAUCUGUUCAACUCUGAGUCCCCUACCCUCCAUAACAGGUUUCCAGCUGCACUGCAUGUCUGAAGCUACACCCAACUAGCUCCCCAGAACCAACUGGGACAGAGGGGGCAGACAAACCAUCUUGAAACUUGGCAGGCUUUGUGGCCUCAGUAAGAUUCCUGCAGUUUUGACCCCCCUCUGUUGUAACACAGACGUGACAGGAGUUUUGCUUUCAAGAAUUUGGGGUACAGUUGCCUCAAAACCCCUGCACCGAUCUUCUUGAAACUUGGCAGGCUUUGUGGCCUCAGUAACAGCUACCAACCGUGCAGUUUUCACCCUGCUAUGUUGUAAUGCCUAGAUGUAACAUGAGUUUUGCUUUCAAGAAUUUGGGGUGCUGUUCCCCCCAAACCCCUGGACCGAUCUUCUUAAAACUUGGCAGGCUUUAUCCCCUCUGCAGAGUCUACCACCCCUGAAAAUUUAAUCCAAAUCAGACAGAAAACAACAGUUAUAGAUAUUUUAUUGUUUCCCCAUUAUACCCUAUGGCCUGAUCUCCGAGGCGGCUCUGAACCACUUCGGGAAGCCAAACGAGGCAGCACUUUGACCCGGAUGUGCUGCUUUGGAUCCCGAAGCGUCCGAAGCUUCUCCGGAUCCGAAGCUCUGUCCGAAGCCUCUCACAGUCCUACUACACAGCCCAAGGGAGAACUGUGAGAACAUAGAGUCAACUUAUCAUGUGUUCUGGCAGUGCGGAUAUGCCGAGAAGGAUAGAGGGUGGGGAGGUUUGCGAAGAGAACCCAAUGAUGUAAUGUAUUGACAUAUGAGAUGGCGAUGUAUGGACUGGACCAAAGAGGACAAAUGAGCCAGCAACUGAAACUGCUGAUAAUGUGCAUGAGUGGCCACCUGGAAGAUACAGAACCUGUUGGAGCUCAAGGGACUGUUUUUCACACCAUGAGAAUGUUUGCAGCUAGCCACGUGUGAACUGCAAGCGCAUAUUGAAAGAGAUGAAGAGGAGUUGGGAGCAUGAAGCACGAUGAACAAGUGGAGAUGAAAAGACGAGAAUGCUGGUCCAGGAAAAAUCUGAGCAGGGGGAGGGGGAGCAGGGGGAAUAAUGGGAUGCGUUGGGGAAACUGAGGAAAGCAUGACAGGUAAUGCCAUUAGAGGUGUGAGUGGUAAAGGAAGCCCAUUGAGCUGUUAUAUGAGAACCAGUAUAAUAAUGUUAAUAUGAUGUGAAAUAAAAUGAAAUGCUGACUGUUUAAUAUGGAUAAAUCAGGGGAAGGAGGGAUGUAUCCUGUUGAGACUUGUUUACAUACAGGUAAAUACUGCCAGAGGAUAAGAAGCACAUAGAUAGAUGAAAUGGUACAUGUGAAAGCAUGUAAAUGAGAAGAUUUUAUGUUUGUUUGGGAAAAGUUCUGUUUGCUUCUCCCUGUUUGCUGCUUCCCUGUCUCUUUAUAUACCUAUCUUUGGCCUGGACUUACUAGGCUCCUUUGUUAGGGGGAGAUACCAUUCUUCUUGGCCUUGAAUGAUCUGGUGUAGUUAGAGAGUGAAGGCUUGUCCCUAGCCUGCUCACAGAGCUGACCCCUACCAGAGUCUACAAAUGCCUCCAAUUGUGAGGACCUUGGCUAUACAAUUUAUGGUGAUGGGGGAUUGCUCUUGGGCUUCCCUCUGGCUUGCUCCUUUGACCUCUUGGCUAGGGGCAAGCAAAACUAGGGAGCAUCUGAACUGCAAGGCCUCCAGGCUUGUGGUUUGCACAUAGGUUGCCUGCCAUAGAAUUGGGAAUAUCUAAAGUCACAGGCUGAAGAGUCUGGGAGAGAGGAUAUUUGCCAGUGGCAGCACCACACAGACUUGAAUAGUUGAGCUCUGCUCAUUCAAUAGAAUUCAGAACUUAUUUGGCAGAUUUGGCCUGAGACACAAGAUUUAAAAAAAAAGCCCCAAAAAGCGGAAUGUUUACUGAAUGUUUUAUAGUCAUGUUCAAUGUUGGCUGCAUUUAAUCAACUUCAUAGUUGGUGUGUAUUACUGAGCAUAUACUACUUUUGGCAGCAGUUUAAUGAUAGAGUAUUUAAUGAGGUCUCCUUGUAUGCAAAUAUAAGAUCAGGGUCUUUUUUUCCUUAUGCUGGUGGGGGGAAAAGCCUCAUCUUGUAUUUGAGUAAAUAUGGUAUUAGCUAAAGUUGGUAAUGAAGCAACUUGUCUGACUUACUGGAGUGAGAGUGUCUAUCCUGAGCGCUGUACUGGUUUAAUUUAAUCAUCUUAAUCAAUUUACUCCCUUGGUAAAUCUGGGCAAGUUGGUCCGUAGACCAGGCACUGGUUGUUCUGAGCCUGAUUGUGGUAACUGUGAGCUUGCUGAAGUUAAUGGGAGUCUUCAUGAACUUUGGGCUUUGGUUCAGGCCCUUUGCCUCUGUCAAUCAGGGAGCAUCAGCUUCCCUGUAGGUCAGGAAGGAGGAGAGACUUUUGCUUCCUCUUUUGGAUAUUUUGUAGGUAUGGUAGGGCAAAGAGCUCUUCUGUCUGUCCUAGACACCACUGAGUGGAAACCCUGGAAAAGGGGAAAGACUGUUUGAAAGGCAUUUCCAAUCCACAGUGCAAAUAAUUUUCUUUCCAGAGAAGUUCUUUGAAAUAUUCAGUGGAUUAAUAUUAUUUUAAGACUAAUUAAAAGGGUAUUACCAACAAAAUGGAUAAGAGUUUGGACAGGCAAGCAUUAGAGUUGCCAGUGCCAAACCAAGCCCCCUUGGGCUGCACUAAUCCAUUUGCUUCCACAGACAGAGGACAAGCAUGUUUCACUUAAUCUUGCUGGGACAGAACUUUAUCAGAAGAAAAUCUGCAUGCUAUGUGAUCUCUGUGACCUGGAUCAGAUUAAUUCUGAAAAGUAUAAAGAGUUGAGCUUGGUAGAUAAUUUGCAUUUGCUGCUUCUGUCCUCUCUGUGCUUCCUGCUGUUUAUAAAGGGAACCUGCCAUAGCUGGGAGUUAUGGAGAGGAAUCUGCUCAAACAACUGAUGAUCAUACACCAAAGAGACUUCUUUGUAAUGAAUAGCUUGGCAACCAGAGAAAAGACUCUUGAGAGAGGUUGCUAUGUGCAGAAUGCCCAGGGAAGGCCAGGACCAACUAACCGUGUAAGGUGACAUAUUAUCAUGGCAGAGAAAUGGAUGUGAGCCAGCCAACUUCAGCAGUUUUCACACUGCUUUAAAUGCAGAUGUAGAAAUAAUUAAGCCAGAGUGGGGGUGGGAAAGAGCCUCUCACGGUCCUUGCACUACACCCAGAAAUUGAGACACUGACACUACCCCUGGGGUCAUGUCUGCAGCCUGUUGUGUUCUUCUAGAGUCAUGCACCUCUCAACAACUGCUGAAGGAGACUGACUGAAAGGCUUUAAGUGGAAUUUUGAGAAACUCUUAUCAUGAUGGGCAGUGAACUUCAGACAACAUCUGAAGCUGCUGGCUUUCCUUUUAUCCAUUCCAUUAUUUUUGCGUGAGAGACUGGAGGGUAGCCAGUGUAAUGCCAAUCUUUAAAAAGGGCUUCAGUGUGGAUCCAGGGAAUUGCAUUUCAUUGAAGCUUGUUUCAAAUUGAUGCAAAUUGGUAGAAGCCAUUAUAAAAAAAUAGGAUUGUCCAUCACGUGGGUGAACAGAACUUGCUGGGGAAUAGUCAACGUGGCUUCUGUAAAGGGUGUUCAUGUUUCUUCAACCUACUACAAUUCUUUAGGACAUUAACAAGCAAGUGGAUCAGGGUGAUCCUAUUAGUAUAGUGUAUUUGGACUUUCAAAAAGCUUUUGAUAGUCUCACAUCACAGGCUUUUGCAGAAAGACCUUGCAAAGUUGAGUGAAUGGGCAACAAAAUGGCAGAUGAAUUUCAGUGUUGAUAAGUGCUGCAUGUGGGAAAGAAAAUAAAUUAUUAAGAAACAGGUUUAAA